ACGAACGCUGGCGGCAGGCCUAACACAUGCAAGUCGAACGCCCUAGCAAUAGGGAGUGGCAGACGGGUGAGUAACGCGUGGGAACGUACCCUUCGGUCUGGAAUAACCCAGGGAAACUUGGGCUAAUACCGGAUACGUGCGAGAGCAGAAAGAUUUAUCGCCGAAGGAUCGGCCCGCGUCCGAUUAGCUAGUUGGUGAGGUAAAGGCUCACCAAGGCGACGAUCGGUAGCUGGUCUGAGAGGAUGAUCAGCCACACUGGGACUGAGACACGGCCCAGACUCCUACGGGAGGCAGCAGUGGGGAAUAUUGGACAAUGGGCGAAAGCCUGAUCCAGCCAUGCCGCGUGAGUGAUGAAGGCCCUAGGGUUGUAAAGCUCUUUCGCCAGGGACGAUAAUGACGGUACCUGGAUAAGAAGCCCCGGCUAACUUCGU
rnacentral:rRNA from 1 species